rnacentral:rRNA from 1 species
GUUAAGCGACUAAGCGUACACGGUGGAUGCCCUGGCAGUCAGAGGCGAUGAAGGACGUGCUAAUCUGCGAUAAGCGUCGGUAAGGUGAUAUGAACCGUUAUAACCGGCGAUUUCCGAAUGGGGAAACCCAGUGUGUUUCGACACACUAUCAUUAACUGAAUCCAUAGGUUAAUGAGGCGAACCGGGGGAACUGAAACAUCUAAGUACCCCGAGGAAAAGAAAUCAACCGAGAUUCCCCCAGUAGCGGCGAGCGAACGGGGAGCAGCCCAGAGCCUGAAUCAGUGUGUGUGUUAGUGGAAGCGUCUGGAAAGGCGCGCGAUACAGGGUGACAGCCCCGUACACAAAAAUGCACAUGCUGUGAGCUCGAUGAGUAGGGCGGGACACGUGGUAUCCUGUCUGAAUAUGGGGGGACCAUCCUCCAAGGCUAAAUACUCCUGACUGACCGAUAGUGAACCAGUACCGUGAGGGAAAGGCGAAAAGAACCCCGGCGAGGGGAGUGAAAAAGAACCUGAAACCGUGUACGUACAAGCAGUGGGAGCACGCUUAGGCGUGUGACUGCGUACCUUUUGUAUAAUGGGUCAGCGACUUAUAUUCUGUAGCAAGGUUAACCGAAUAGGGGAGCCGAAGGGAAACCGAGUCUUAACUGGGCGUUAAGUUGCAGGGUAUAGACCCGAAACCCGGUGAUCUAGCCAUGGGCAGGUUGAAGGUUGGGUAACACUAACUGGAGGACCGAACCGACUAAUGUUGAAAAAUUAGCGGAUGACUUGUGGCUGGGGGUGAAAGGCCAAUCAAACCGGGAGAUAGCUGGUUCUCCCCGAAAGCUAUUUAGGUAGCGCCUCGUGAAUUCAUCUCCGGGGGUAGAGCACUGUUUCGGCAAGGGGGUCAUCCCGACUUACCAACCCGAUGCAAACUGCGAAUACCGGAGAAUGUUAUCACGGGAGACACACGGCGGGUGCUAACGUCCGUCGUGAAGAGGGAAACAACCCAGACCGCCAGCUAAGGUCCCAAAGUCAUGGUUAAGUGGGAAACGAUGUGGGAAGGCCCAGACAGCCAGGAUGUUGGCUUAGAAGCAGCCAUCAUUUAAAGAAAGCGUAAUAGCUCACUGGUCGAGUCGGCCUGCGCGGAAGAUGUAACGGGGCUAAACCAUGCACCGAAGCUGCGGCAGCGACGCUGAUGCGUUGUUGGGUAGGGGAGCGUUCUGUAAGCCUGCGAAGGUGUGCUGUGAGGCAUGCUGGAGGUAUCAGAAGUGCGAAUGCUGACAUAAGUAACGAUAAAGCGGGUGAAAAGCCCGCUCGCCGGAAGACCAAGGGUUCCUGUCCAACGUUAAUCGGGGCAGGGUGAGUCGACCCCUAAGGCGAGGCCGAAAGGCGUAGUCGAUGGGAAACAGGUUAAUAUUCCUGUACUUGGUGUUACUGCGAAGGGGGGACGGAGAAGGCUAUGUUGGCCGGGCGACGGUUGUCCCGGUUUAAGCGUGUAGGCUGGUUUUCCAGGCAAAUCCGGAAAAUCAAGGCUGAGGCGUGAUGACGAGGCACUACGGUGCUGAAGCAACAAAUGCCCUGCUUCCAGGAAAAGCCUCUAAGCAUCAGGUAACAUCAAAUCGUACCCCAAACCGACACAGGUGGUCAGGUAGAGAAUACCAAGGCGCUUGAGAGAACUCGGGUGAAGGAACUAGGCAAAAUGGUGCCGUAACUUCGGGAGAAGGCACGCUGAUAUGUAGGUGAAGUCCCUUGCGGAUGGAGCUGAAAUCAGUCGAAGAUACCAGCUGGCUGCAACUGUUUAUUAAAAACACAGCACUGUGCAAACACGAAAGUGGACGUAUACGGUGUGACGCCUGCCCGGUGCCGGAAGGUUAAUUGAUGGGGUCAGCGCAAGCGAAGCUCUUGAUCGAAGCCCCGGUAAACGGCGGCCGUAACUAUAACGGUCCUAAGGUAGCGAAAUUCCUUGUCGGGUAAGUUCCGACCUGCACGAAUGGCGUAAUGAUGGCCAGGCUGUCUCCACCCGAGACUCAGUGAAAUUGAACUCGCUGUGAAGAUGCAGUGUACCCGCGGCAAGACGGAAAGACCCCGUGAACCUUUACUAUAGCUUGACACUGAACAUUGAGCCUUGAUG